CAGUCGCCACGGGAAUACGUAGGGUGCAAGCGUUAAUCGGAAUUACUGGGCGUAAAGCGUGCGCAGGCGGUUCUAUAAGACAGAUGUGAAAUCCCCGGGCUCAACCUGGGAACUGCAUUUGUGACUGUAGAGCUGGAGUGCGGCAGAGGGGGAUGGAAUUCCGCGUGUAGCAGUGAAAUGCGUAGAUAUGCGGAGGAACACCGAUGGCGAAGGCAAUCCCCUGGGCCUGCACUGACGCUCAUGCACGAAAGCGUGGGGAGCAAACAGGAUUAGAUACCCGAGUAGUCCCUGUCUCUUAUAC
rnacentral:rRNA from 1 species